UAGUCAUAUGCUUGUCUCAAAGAUUAAGCCAUGCAUGUGUAAGCACAAGCCGUAUAUGGUGAAGCCGCGAAUGGCUCAUUACAACAGCCAUAGUUUAUUAGAUCUUAUCCUUUUACAUGGAUAACUGUGGUAAUUCUAGAGCUAAUACACGCAUUCAAGCUCAGACCUUACGGAAUGAGCGCAUUUAUUAGAACAAAACCAAUCGGACUUCGGUCCGCCUUUUGGUGAAUCUGAAUACCUUAGCAGAUCGCACGGUCUUUGUACCGGCGACAUAUCUUUCAAAUGUCUGCCUUAUCAACUUUCGUUGGUAGUUUAUGCGCCUACCAUGGUUGUAACGGGUAACGGAGAAUAAGGGUUCGACUCCGGAGAGGGAGCCUGAGAAACGGCUACCACAUCCAAGGAAGGCAGCAGGCACGCAAAUUACCCAAUCCCCGAACGGGGAGGUAGUGACGAAAAAUAACGAGACCGUUCUCUAUGAGGCCGGUCAUCGGAAUGAGUACAAUUUAAAUCCUUUAACGAGGAUCCAUUGGAGGGCAAGUCCGGUGCCAGCAGCCGCGGUAAUUCCAGCUCCAAUAGCGUAUAUUAAAGUUGUUGCGGUUAAAAAGCUCGUAGUUGGAUCUGCGGAUUUGGAGAACGGUCGCCUAAUGGGUGUACUGUUUUCCUGUCCUAUUUUCUCUAGUUUACCUUAGGUGCGCUUCACUGUGUGUCUAGGGUGGCUAGAACGUUUACUUUGGAAAAAUUAGAGUGCUCAAAGCAGGCUUCUACGCCUGAAUAGUGGUGCAUGGAA
rnacentral:rRNA from 1 species